rnacentral:ncRNA from 1 species
UAUUCUCAGGGCGGGGCGAAAUUCCCCACCGGCGGUAAAUCAGCUACGGCUGAAAGCCCGCGAGCGCUUCGGGAGCACUUCCGAAGGUCAGCAGAUCCGGUGUAAUUCCGGGGCCGACGGUUACAGUCCGGAUGGGAGAGAGU